UGUGUAAUACUUGAAAAUUUAUAAAAUUUAUAAAAUAAAAAGUUGACUAAAUGGCUCGUUUCGAUAAUACAUCAUCCGAUUCUUUGUGUUGACCUAGCGUACGUGUUCAGCCGCUUUCGUUUUUGGUUAAAAUUGCGCUCCCAACUGAGAGGAAAAUGCAGCAGCCUAAUAAGAAGUAUAAAAAGAGUUAGGUGCUCUCCAUUAUAUAGUUUUUAACGGAAGGGAGGAAAUUUAAGAUAAUAAUUGCAAAAAUAUAGCUACAAUGUGUCGCUACUACUAGCAGCUGAGGGAAAUGCUUUCCAAAGAUUGUUCCGGCCAUGCAACCGUUACUGGUUACAAAUAAUGUAACUGGCUUGCCUUUGGCAACUUCUGCGCCAUCAAAAGCAGCACCUUCUGUUGCACAAAUUCCCAACCAACGAUCAACUCGGCCACCGAAAUCUUCCCCUGGACAAUUGGCGGCUAUCGUAGCAGAGAAUGUUGCCAUGGAAGAGAAGAAGCUCGAAUUCGAAAAAUAUUAGUUUGAAGAAGAAAAGAAAAUUGAUGAAAAAAUAG